AGAUUGAACGCUGGCGGCAUGCCUAACACAUGCAAGUCGAACGGGAGUAGCAAUACUCUAGUGGCGGACGGGUGAGGAAUACGUAGGAAUUUGCCCUUAAGUGGGGGAUAACCCGGGGAAACCCGGAUUAAUACCGCAUGACCUCGAAAGAGCAAAGUGGGGGAUCGCAAGACCUCACGCUUUUGGAGAAGCCUACGUCGGAUUAGCUAGUUGGUGAGGUAAUGGCUCACCAAGGCGACGAUCCGUAACUGGUCUGAGAGGAUGAUCAGUCACACCGGAACUGAGACACGGUCCGGACUCCUACGGGAGGCAGCAGUGGGGAAUAUUGGACAAGUGGGCGCAAGCCUGAUCCAGCAAUGCCGCGUGUGUGAAGAGGUCCUUGGGUUAGUAAAGCUACGUUUAAGUAGGAAAGAAAAACUCGACUACUAACAC
rnacentral:rRNA from 1 species